UUGACAUGCAAAUGAGAAACAUUAUUAUUAGCAGCAAGUCAUCGAGAGAUGGCUUGGGUAACGGAAAGUCGCAAGACGGACGGUUAUCUCCUCAUCAGGCUAAUCACGGAUUUGGGCCCGCUCUCUGAGCGGGCCAUUUUUUU
rnacentral:sRNA from 1 species